UACGGGGGGGGCAAGCGUUGUUCGGAAUUACUGGGCGUAAAGGGCUCGUAGGUGGCCAACUAAGUCGGACGUGAAAUCCCUCGGCUUAACCGGGGAACUGCGUCCGAUACUGGUUGGCUUGAGUUUGGGAGAGGGAUGCGGAAUUCCAGGUGUAGCGGUGAAAUGCGUAGAUAUCUGGAGGGACACCGGUGGCGAAGGCGGCAUCCUGGACCAACACUGACGCUGAGGAGCGAAAGCCAGGGGAGCAAACGGG
rnacentral:rRNA from 1 species